GUCGUUCAUCUUCGUAGGUGACCUGCGGAGGAUCAUUA
rnacentral:rRNA from 1 species